UCCCUGGUGGCUCAGAAGGUACAGCGUCUGUCUACAAUGCAGGAGACCCGGGUUCGAGCCCUGGGUUGGGAA
rnacentral:tRNA from 1 species